GCGGAGGAAAAGAAACCAACUGGGAUUGCCUCAGUAACGGCGAGUGAAGCGGCAACAGCUCAAAUUUGAAAUCUGGCGCCUUGGGCGUCCGAGUUGUAAUUUGUAGAGGGAGUCUCGGGUUAAGGGUCGGUCCAAGUGCCUUGGAACAGGAUACCGAAGAGGGUGAGAGUCCCGUAUCCGGCCGACGCCAGCGCCCGUGUGAGGCCCCUUCGACGAGUCGAGUUGUUUGGGAAUGCAGCUCUAAAUGGGUGGUAAAUUCCAUCUAAAGCUAAAUACUGGCCAGAGACCGAUAGCGCACAAGUAGAGUGAUCGAAAGAUGAAAAGCACUUUGAAAAGAGAGUCAAACAGUACGUGAAAUUGUUGAAAGGGAAGCGUAUGUGGGCAGACUUGGACGCUGGAUUCAGGCCGCCUUCUGGCGGGUGUAUUUUCCAGCGGACAGGCCAGCAUCGGUUCUGAGGGCCGGACAAAGACGAAGGGAAUGUGGCUCCUCUCUGGGGAGUGUUAUAGCCCGGCGUGCAAUGCGGCCACUUGGACCGAGGACCGCGCAUUUGCAA
rnacentral:rRNA from 1 species